rnacentral:rRNA from 1 species
UGGUGGAGUGAUUUGUCUGCUUAAUUGCGAUAACGAACGAGACCUUAACCUGCUAAAUAGCCAGGCUAGCUUUCUGCUGGUCGCCGGCUUCUUAGAGGGACUAUCGGCUCAAGCCGAUGGAAGUUUGAGGCAAUAACA